GGGGCGUAGUCGAGUGGUAAGGCAACGGGGUUUGGCCCCGAUAACGAGGGUUCGAGUUCUUCCGCCCCA
rnacentral:tRNA from 1 species